UCGCCCUGUUUUUAACAAAAACAUUUCUUAUAGAAUUUAAUUAUAAGUAAAACCUGCUCAAUGAAUUUUUAUUUCAAUAGCCGCAGUUUAUCCUGUGCUAAGGUAGCAUAAUCAUUUGUUUUUUAAUUUAAAACUAGAAUGAAAGGUUUAACAUUUAAAUUUCUAUGUUUUCUAUACUUUACUAAAUUAUACUAAAUAUAAAAAUAUAUUUAUGAAAAAACUAGACGACAAGACCCUAUUGAACUUUACUUUUGUUUAGCUGGGGCAGCUUUUAAAUAAUAAUUUUUAACUAAUUUUUAACAAAAUAUCCAAUAAAAUUGAAAUAUUAAUCAAGUUACCAUAGGGAUAACAGCGUAAUUUUUAUAAAAAGUUCUUAUUUAAAUAAAAGUUUGCGACCUCGAUGUUGAAUUAAAUUUUUCUUAAUUUCGCAAUAGAAAUUAAAGUGGGUCUGUUCGACCUUUAAUAAUUUACAUGAUUUGAGUUCAAACCGGUGUAAACCAGGUUGGUUUCUAUCUUUUUAUCUUAUUUUCCAGUACGAAAGGACAAAAAAUAAUAUUAUAAAUAUUUAUUUGGCAGAAAAUUGCAUUAGAAUUAGAAUCUAAUUAU
rnacentral:rRNA from 1 species